GCAAUGGCUCCUGCGAAUGAAGCUGUUGACUUAGAGGUGUAGGGUCGUUCCUCCUUUCACUGGUUGGCAUAGGGGCAUGGCGCAAGUGAGACGCCGAUGGUCCUUGUCAUCGUCGCCCUCUAUCUUGCCAGUACGGGUGCUACUCUCUUAGGCCUCUUCACUCAUCUAUUAUCUCACCUAAUCUCUGACUCUUUGUUUUUGUUAUGAAGAUGACUUCGCUACCUCGUGUGCAACAGAU
rnacentral:misc_RNA from 1 species